GGGUUGGAAGCAGAGACAGGCCGGCAGGACUCGAACUGGUGGGGACCAUGUUUUGUAGAUCCAGCUUUCCGGUGGGCAGCCUCAGUUAUAUUUGAUUGACCCAUCUUUAUAGUGCAGAGGCUGUCCCUCCCCACAUCAUCACUCUGACAUCAACAGCUUGCCAAAGCUUUUCAGAGCACAGAACUUGCAUCGCCUAUGUCAUUUGAGAUGCCUGCGUGUUAAUAAAGAGAGUACCUGGAAGCGUAAUUGAACUGAGAGCACCCGGCGUGACAUACAGUUUCACAUUAACAGCGUUGUAAUAUGAGACCUUGGAUACUGUCAGCACUCACGCAGGAGCACCGUGACAGGGAGGCAAUGGCAGCCCUGAGGCAGGAACUGUGACACAUGGAGACACCUAAGUGGAAGUCUUUCAUUCUGGAAAUGAAUCCUUUACCCAGCUCUCAGCAGCCUACCUAGCAAUGGAGCAGCAGAUUGAAGGUAAAGGUGUGCAGACUGCUGUUGGAUUCAGC